rnacentral:rRNA from 1 species
GGAGGAAGGUGGGGAUGACGUCAAAUCAUCAUGCCCCUUAUGACCUGGGCUACACACGUGCUACAAUGGGAAGUACAACGAGUUGCGAAGUCGCGAGGCUAAGCUAAUCUCUUAAAGCUUCUCUCAGUUCGGAUUGCAGGCUGCAACUCGCCUGCAUGAAGCCGGAAUCGCUAGUAAUCGCGGAUCAGCACGCCGCGGUGAAUACGUUCCCGGGCCUUGUACACACCGCCCGUCACACCACGAGAGUUUGUAACACCCGAAGUCGGUGAGGUAACCUUUUUGGAGCCAGCCGCCUAAGGUGGGAUAGAUGAUUGGGGUGAAGUCGUAACAAGGUAGCCGUAUCGGAAGGUGCGGCUGGAUCACCUCCUUU